rnacentral:rRNA from 1 species
UACAGAGGUCCCAAGCGUUGUUCGGAUUCACUGGGCGUAAAGGGUGCGCAGGUGGGUUUGCAAGUUCGAUGUGAAAGCCCCGGGCUUAACCCGGGAAUGGCAUUGGAUACUGCAGAUCUGGAGGAUCGGAGGGGGGGACUGGAAUUCUUGGUGUAGCAGUGAAAUGCGUAGAUAUCAAGAGGAACACCAGUGGCGAAGGCGAGUCCCUGGACGAUACCUGACACUGAGGCACGAAAGCUAGGGGAGCAAACAGG